AACGAACGCUGGCGGCAUGCCUAACACAUGCAAGUCGAACGAGACCUUCGGGUCUAGUGGCGCACGGGUGCGUAACGCGUGGGAACCUGCCCUUAGGUUCGGAAUAACUCCCCGAAAGGGGUGCUAAUACCGGAUAAUGUCUUCGGACCAAAGAUUUAUCGCCUUUGGAUGGGCCCGCGUUGGAUUAGCUAGUUGGUAGGGUAAGAGCCUACCAAGGCGACGAUCCAUAGCUGGUCUGAGAGGAUGAUCAGCCACACUGGGACUGAGACACGGCCCAGACUCCUACGGGAUGCAGCAGUGGGGAAUAUUGGACAAUGGGCGAAAGACUGAUCAAGCAAUGCCGGGUGAGUGAUGAAGGCCUUAGGGUUGUAAAGCUCUUUUACCCGGGAUGAUAAUGACAGUACCGGGAGAAUAAGCUCCGGCUAACUCCGUG
rnacentral:rRNA from 1 species